UAUGUUUUUUAUUGUGCCCCUCUGCGUGUUGUGGGGUGUGUUGGGUGGAUCAUUCAAUAGCAACCGUUUGUGUGGUUGAGUCGUGCCGGGUGUGGCGGGGCUGGUUGGUGCAUUGUUGGGUGUCUGAGGCAAUAUGUCCUCGGUGGCGCCGCAUGGUUUGUAUGCCUGUUUGGGUGUGUGGAGUGUGUGGGGCGUGUUGUUUGAGAACUAUACAGUGGACGCGAGCAUCUUAUUCUUUGUUCUUUGUGAACAUCCGAAUUUAUUCAUGCUUUUUUGUUAAGUGUGUAAGAGCACACGGUGGAUGCCUUGGCAUCAAGAGCCGAUGAAGGACGUGGGAGACUGCGUUAAGCCUAGGGGAGUUGUCAACCGAGCGGUGAUCCUAGGAUGUC
rnacentral:misc_RNA from 1 species